rnacentral:rRNA from 1 species
UACGUAGGGGGCAAGCGUUGUCCGGAUUUACUGGGCGUAAAGAGCGUGUAGGCGGCCAAGCAGGUCCGUUGUGAAAACUGGAGGCUUAACCUCCAGACGUCGACGGAAACCGUGCGGCUAGAGUCCGGAAGAGGAGAGUGGAAUUCCUGGUGUAGCGGUGAAAUGCGCAGAUAUCAGGAAGAACACCAAUGGCGAAGGCAGCUCUCUGGGACGGUACUGACGCUGAGACGCGAAAGCGUGGGGAGCGAACAGGG